rnacentral:lncRNA from 1 species
UCCAUAUUGUCCUUGGUAGUGGUUGAUUGAUAAGCUAGUUCUUCAGCCACACAACAUGGAGUUCCUUCAGGUUCUCUGACCACUGGAUCAUAUACUUUCUCCAGAAUUGGGACAUUGUUAGUGGGAUUAUCCUCUAGACUCUUUUUCAAGUGAACCUCUUUUGCAGUUUCAGUGUCAUAAGCAUUGAGUAUUUCAGGGUUCUGCUUCAGAAAAAAAAGAUAUAUCAGAUAGUCAUAGUCAGCUCCGAUUAAUAUGUAAUUUUGGAAGAUUCAUGGAAUUGUUAUUUUAUUAUGUUUAUGAUCAUAUUCUUGGUAUAUAAUAGAAAUAAUUAGGUUGAUCAGGAAAACCAUAUGCUGAGAUCUUCAUUCCAUUGAGUUCUAAAUCCUGGAGCCUUCUAUUUUACUUAUUGUAUUUUGAUUUUUUAUCUUCAAAUGCUGAUAUUAAGUCUGAGUAAAGCUUCUAAGAUCUCUUUUCAAGUUAUGAACCUCUAUUUGUCCUAGGUUCCAGUGGCUUAUUAGUUUGUAUAUCAGACAAACAGACUGGAGCUUCAUCAUUAUUGGCCAUAUUAUCAUGUUAGUAUCACUCUACAAUAUAAAUCAAUGCCUACAAUAUAACUCUAGGAUGUGGAAUCUCAAAACAGACAAAAAUUGUGGAGAAUAUUUUCGGUCCAAGUACAAUGCAAAGAAGGUAUCUGCCCAAAAUUGAUUAUCCAGUCCAGACCAUGGUCCCAUUGACCAAAAAACGUAAAAAUCAGAUAAAAGAUUUGCCAUACUGUGAGCUCAUUUCUCUCACAUUAAUCUGUAAACAAACCCUGGCUAGACUACUCACAAGAAGCCACAGAUAUUUCUGUCUGAACUCAAUGGAUAAGGAUUGAAAAACUAGAGUUAAUAGUUGCAUGAUAACGAUGAUUUUCUGCAAUUUAUUGAAUUGUUUUCUAACAAUUUAUUUUCUUUUAUUUACUGUGUGUAUUUCAUAAAUUGCUUGCUUCUAUAUAAUAUGCAUGAUAAGAAUUGUGUUUAAUGAUUUUUCUUCACCUUUUCGUCUUCAUUAUCUGGUAUGCUGCUUGGAUCUUCAAUGCUUAUUCUGGCUACUGCUUUCUCAGUUGUUAGAACUGCUUCACUCUCUUCUUGAGGUAGUUUUGAUUUAACUGAAUGUUCCUUUUCAGCAGCAACAGCAUCUUCUUCAAUAGAAGCAUAUAUUUCAUACUCGAUUGUUUUCUCUGUGAUCUCAAUGGAGGAAAUUUCAAUAUUUUCUUUGCAUUUGUCUAUCUCCACGGUGUCAUUUAGAGUUUGAUUUAUUGGAGCGCCAUCACAGGCAUUAACCUGUAUAUUGUCUUCAGAAGCUUCCUUCCCCUGUAUUAGUUCAUUAUCUUGAUUGUAUUUUUGGUUCUCCUCAUCCAGGUUCGUUCUUGCUUCUGCCUCAUCUGUUUUAUCUUCCAAAACAACCUCGUGAACUAUCACCUCAGAUGAUACCUCCACAUCAUGGCACUCAGUCUGAUUCAUUUGCAUAUGAUUGUCAUCAGCUUCAUCUUGGUCAUAUACUUCCUCGUUUUGAGUAUUGAAUAUUUGCAUGUCAGACUCUACACUAUGAAGGCCCAUUUCAUCCAGAACAUCUAAAGUUUCCUGGCCCUGAUCCUUAUUUUUCUCCAGUUCAAAUGUCACUUCAAGGUUUUCAUGAUUUUCUUCUUCAACUCCUGAGUCUUCCUGCCUUGGUAACUGUGCAUAAAAAGCAUCAAAGUUGCUAUCUUCACUUUCAUCCUCUGUCCAAAUCACAUUUUUCUUUUUGUCUUCUGUGUCUGUGAUUUCUUGAUCCUGAAAGGUUUUGUCUUCUGCAGUUGGUGUUGGAUGAGAUUCAUCUACAGACACUGCUCUAGGUCUGUUAUCUCUUGUAUUUACGGAUCCUGCAAUGUGGCAGUCUCCUCCCAAGUUCUCUUCUUCAUGUGAAACUUCAAUGGUGUCUUUCUCAUCCUCACCUUUAUCCAUGUUAGUGUUUUGAAUGCCAUCUUCUGAUGGUAGGCUAUCCUCUUUUUGUUGCAUACUGCAAAUUCCUUCAUCAUAUUUGCUAAUCAUCUGGUCCUGGAUAAUUGAAGCCUCCGUAUUUGUCAAUAUGUCAACAUUGCCUUGGCUGACUUGUGGUUGUUCCAUUUUAGCAAAAUCUUUGUUUUCUGUGAUUUCACUUGCAUCAAUUAUGUCAGCACUAAGAUUGGCAUCAUUUUUUGAGUUCUGAGACAUCAUCACUUCACUAGUCCCCUCCGGAGUCUUAGAUUGGUGUACUAAUUCUGAGAUUGAUUCAAGUUUCUGGCAUGCGUCUUCUAUGUUGUUGUCAGCUACUGUGCUCUCUUUUGUGUGACUUGCUUCUUCAAUCUGUUCUUUGCAUUCGAAGUCCAGGACUAUUUCUUGGUUAUUAUUUACAGCUUGUAUGUGUUGCCCAACCAAGUCGUCUGUGUCAGGUUCAUCACUAAUGCUAUUGUUCUUGUCUUUGUCAGUGUCUCUUGUGGGUUCCUUGUCGUUGUUUAUAUGGAUGACAUCAGAUACCUGCUUAAAAGAAAAUAACUUUAGUAAAAUGUCCAGUUGGAAUCAUAUUUUAAUAUACUCAUUAAUGGCCAAUUUUUGUGUUAACAGAGAAAGGUGAAGUUCAUAAUAUUUGACUUAUUCAAUAAAGAUUCGGUGCUAUCUAACACUUGAUAGCACUGGAAUAAGCUGGAUUUUAUGCUUAUUCAAGCAGUUAGAACAGUAGUUCAGACUUAGAGUUUUUAGAUUAUAAGAGUUGCUAAAUAGUAUGUCCUGAACUGUAAGGAAUAAAGCCUAUCAAGUAAAGCAUUUUGAGCUAAAUUUAUGUAUAACAAGGUAGUACUAAGCCAAAGACUCUUUUUCAGGUGAACCUCUUUUGCAGUUUCAGUGUUAUAAGCAUCGAGCAUUUCAGGGUUCUGCUUCCAAAAAAAAAGAUAUAUCAGAUAAUCAUAGUAAGCUCUGAUUAAUAUGUAAUUUUGGAAGAUUCAUGGACUUGUUAUUUAUUAUGUUUAUGAUCAUUUUCUUGGGUAUAUAAUAGAAAUAAUUAGGUUGAUCAGGAAAACCAUAUGCUGAGAUCAUCAUUCCAUUGAGUUCUUAAAUCCUGGAGCCUUCUAUUUUACUGAUUGUAUUGUGAUUUUUUAUCUUCAAAUGCUGAUAUUAAGUCUGAGUAAAGCUUCUAAGAUCUCUUUUCAAGUUAUGAACCUCUAUUUGUCCUAGGUACCAAUGGCUUAUUAGUUUGUAUAUCAGACAAACAGAUAGGAUCUUCAUCAUUAUUGGCCAUAUUAUCAUGUUUGCAUCACUCUACAAUAUAAAUCAAUGCCUACAAUAUAACUCUAGGACGUGGAAUCUCAAAACAGACAAAUUCUAGAGAACAUUUUCAAUCCAAGUACAAUGCAAAAAAGGUAUCUGCCCAAAAUUGAUUAUCCGGUCCAGACGAUGGUCCCAUUGACCAAAAAAAGUAAAAAUCAGAUAAAAGAUUUGCCAUACUGUAAGCCCAUUUCUCUCACAUUAAUCUGUAAACAAGCCCUGGCUAGACUACUCACAAGAAGCCACAAAUAUUUCUGUCUGAACUACAUGGAUAAGGAUUGAAAAACUAGAGUUAAUAGUUGCAUGAUAAUGAGGAUUUUCUGCAAUUUAUUGAAUUUUUUUUAACAAUUUCUUUUCUUUUAUUUACUGUGUGUAUUUCAUAAAUUGCUUGCUUCUAUAUAAUAUGCAUGAUAAGAAUUGUGUUUAAUGAUUUUUCUUC